AAUGAUAGCAAAUAUUUAAACAAUUGGUUCAACAAAAAAAAAGCCUACUAUUAACCUGACUUAAAAAAAAUAAAAUAAAAAUACGUGCACAUGAAUAGUGAAUUCUGCUGAAUUCACUGCUCAAAUCCGAUCCUUAUGAACGCUGUUGAUUCCCUUGCAUUCCCUCUGGACUCCCACCAAUGAACAGCUCAUAUUAUCUUUGCUUUAUUGACAGUAUUGCUAGUGAUGCGACACCCGGGAUCCUCCAUCUGCACUCAGUAUUGAUAUAAUCAAUCAAUUAUUCAAAUCUCAAAGUAUAGAGUUUCUACUGUUGCCAUGCUUCAACUUGUCAAUUGUCAAUUUUGUAUAUUGUAUUAGUUUGUCCCAAACCAGUUUGUAUUAUAGACCUGUAUUUCUGAUUGUCUUUUAUAGUUUUGUUUUUUGUUAUGACAUGAAUGUAAGAUACAGUGCCCUCUACUAAUAUAGGCACCCUUGAUAAAUAUGAGCAAAGAAGGCCGGUCUUUAUUGUUUAACCUUUUUGUCCAAAAAAAAAUUCACAAAAACACUUUGCUCUCAUGGAUAUCAAACAAUUGCAAACAAAACACAGGUUUGCCAAAAAGCAGAGUAUUUUUGUGAUAAAAAAAAAAACAAACAAAAAAAACGAAAGGUUAACCAAUAAAGACCAUUUUCACAGACUUCUUUGCUCAUAUUUACCAAGGGUGCCAAUAUUAGUGGAGCGCACUGUAUGAGGACCUUUUUUUUGUAGGGAUCAGCCUUGUUUUGUACACUAGAUGGCUCUGCAGCAUUGAAAUAUUUAUACUACAAACUGGGCCGUAGAAAUCUGUGAACCUGUAGAAGGUGUGAAAUAAUGCAGCUAUUUAGAUUGAUGCAUUGAUUAGAAAUGUAUACACAGACUGAUCCAUGGAAAAAUGAUUAAAUUGAAUUGAAAAGUGACACCCAUUCAAAAAGUUCAGUGUUCAAAUUCAAUUAUCAGUUCACUUUGUCUUGUAGCAUAAUUUUGAAACUCAUCUGCUAGAGUAAGCCUGCUUUUGUGAAGUACUCAUUUAUAAGCUUAUUAUAAAGUGUUGGGUAAUGAGGGCAGAAUAGAUACUUUCUGUAGGAUGAAUUAUGUGUAUGUGUCGGGACUAGGAUCCCAAAAAGUAGUUGUGCGGGUGGCUAGAUAUGAAGCUAGCAAGACAAAGAAUGUUCAUUAACAUAUGGUACAAGCAUAUAUAUAUAUAUAUAUAUAUAUAUAUAUAUAUAUAUAUAUAUAUAUAUAUAUACACACACACACAAGCGGGGGACACUUUGGACCAACUUUCUGUUGAAGUGGUGGGAUUGGUCACAUUUUCUGUGAGAGCAUUGGUGGAAUGGUCAAAGUUUCUGUGGGAGUGGCUGGGAUUGGACAACUUUAUUGUGGGAAUGGACAAGAUUGGUGAAGAGUGUCUGUGGAAGUGGGCAGGAUUGGUAAAACUUUUAGUGGGAGCAGGCAUGAUUGAUCAAGAGUGUCUACAGGGGCAAGCCAGAUUGGUCAAGUGUUCUGCAGGAACUAGUGGGAUUAGUCAGGAUUGUCUGUAGAAGCAAGGAGAAUUGGUCAAACUUUCUGCAGGAGUGGGCAAGAUGUGUCAAGAAUGUCUAUGGGAGUGGGUGGAAUUGGUCAAACUUUCUGCUGAAGCAAUUGGGAUUGGUCAAAUUUUCAGUGGAAGCAGGCGGGAUUGGUCAAACUUUCUGCGGAAGCAGGCGGGAUUGGUCAAAUCUUCAGUGGAAGCAGGCGAGAUUGGUCAAAUUUUCAGUGGAAGCAGGCGAGAUUGGUCAAAUUUUCCGUGGAAGCAGGCGAGAUUGGUCAAAUUUUCAGUGGAAGCAGGCGGGAUUGGACAAAUUUUCAGUGUAAACAGGUGGGAUUGGUCAAACUUUCUGCGGAAGCAGGCGGGAUUGUCAAAUUUACUGCACAAGCAGCUGGUAAAGAAUGCUUCUGGGAACAGGCAGGAUUGGCCAAAUUUCUACAAGACCAGGCAAUAGUGGGAUUAAUAAAACAGUUUGGCGCACCUGUACUGUAAAUUACUUUAUAUAGCACAUUUUUCAUUUUUAAUCAAACAGCCUUUUUUGAUUAUAGUAAUAAUCUCCUGGCUUUUUGUUGUUAACACAAAACUGAGUAUUAAUUUGUAUAGAACUGAGUCUGGUUAUGUCCAAAAUCGAAUACUAAAUAGGUAACAUACUAAACCUACUGUCUCAACAUACUAAUGUUGUUUGGAACGGAGCCCGAGACUGCCUAAUAGUCCAUUGAAAGCUUUUUUAUUUGUUCUCAUAUUUUGCCUGGUUUUGGAGCUUGUAAAAGGUUCAUGAAGUAUAUAUGAGGUCACUUAUAAAUGGAGUUUAGACACUUAUAGGCACUGCUUGCCAAUAAGAGCGUUAUUGACCAGAAUGAAAACUGCCACAUGGGUAUGUAUUCGUGUGUAUGACAGCCAGUUAAUAAAUCUUUGUACUAUAUAAGCCUUGUGUGCUGUGUUUCAUAAAAAAGGAGCGGUUUAAGUGAAUCACUGUGUCUUACAAGCUGGAGGAGGAAUGCGUUUCCUGUUUACGCCUGUGAAAGUCCAUAUGUUUCACUCAUCGGCUUGCCCACACAAAACAGACUAGCACACAGCCUGCUGUCGCGGGCUACUAAACAGUAGGUGUACGUGUGGCCAUAGGUGGCAUAUUUUCAAAACUAUUUAGUACAGUAGUGUGCACAUUUCUAUGGAGUCCUACUCUCAGGCUCUGUCUUAUAGCCUACCAAGGCAGUGAGAGGUCUACAUAUAGCACAUACCUUGUCAGAAAUAAAGGUGGAGAAGUUUGUACCUUUAUCUCCAAUGAUUUCUGGGUGAGAAAAAAGGAAAAUGUACUUCUGUUUUAUAAGUUCUAAAAAAAAAAGAUUAAAUAAAAAAUAAUGUUAAAAUUAAAAAAAAUUAAAUAUGGGUGUUUCCUGAAAGAAGACAACAAUCCAAAAGAUAUGUCAAGAUUAGGAGACAAAAAGGUUAGUCAAAGUUGAGUGACCCUCUCUGUUUCCAGACUCGAUCUGAAGAAAGCACUGGAAGAAAUUUGGCAGAGGUACGACAUGUAAGGAAUAAAACACUUAUUUAUAACCAUGCCUCAUUUUUUUCCCCUCUUAAAGUUAAUAAGACAACGUUUCUGAAAAAGUCCUCUGUGCUAUCCAAGUUGGAAUAUUAAAAAAAAAAAAAAAAAAAAAAAGUUAUAGCUUUACCUCUGUUGGAUAAAUACCGAAGAUUCCUUCGACAAAUGCUAAAUCAAUGUCUCCUAACUGAAAACUUUAAGCUUAUCAGUGAUUAAAAUCUAUUAUUAUGGAAAAUAUGACAUAUUAAAACAAGUGCAUGAAUAUACACCUUGCAGCUGGUCUGACUGUCAGAGCUGCUGUUACUGAAAAUGAAUCACCCUCUGACCAAUCAGAAUCAAGCAUUCAACAGUGCUGAGUAAAGAUUGGUCAAGCAUUCUGGGGAUUGGGUUGGGG
ensembl:lncRNA